GGGCAAUUGGGUAGGGAGACUAGUGCUUCCUUUUGGCUGUGUGGGUCUUGCUUCCAGGUACUGGAGGAGAGAGGAGCUUGUUCAGUCCAGUCUGGAGUGGCCUGAUCUUCUUGGUUCAGCCCAAAGACACAGGCUUUCUAAAGAAAACCGUAUAGUUACUUCUCUGCCUAUUCUCCACUGGCAGAUUUGAGCAGAGGCACAUCAUAAGUUAACUCUGAAUUCACUAUGGAAUAAUAUAAAUCCUGCCUCCUUUCAAAUGGAGAAACUGAGGUCCAUAGAGGUGAAAUGACUUGUCCAGAAUCACACAACCAAGUGAAGUACCUGAGUUUAUUCUUCAUUCUACCUGGGAGAAAGGGACAGUGGAAUCAGAACACAGGGACUUUGAUGCUGGGCAAGCCUGAAAUUGGAAGAUUAGAGGAUGAAUUACCAGGAAGGGCAUUUGACACAAUUGUACUAGAUGAGUGAAUGGGGUCAAGCAUCAUGGAAAAGCUUAUGUAUUAUUUCUAGCUUAUGAUAGUCAAGACAUUUUCAUGCUUUGAAGAAUCCAUGCCUUCAUUAGUAAGAGUGGGGAAUAUAAUUCCUCUGCAUCGCAUUUUGUUCAUAUGCUAUAUUCAUUUUCAUACUCAAAAAUUCUUUUACUAUAAAUCUUUUAAACAUUAUCAAUCCAAUACACUGUCUUCUUCUUUUGCUAUAUGAUACCAAUUACUACAUAGACCCCCUCCCCCCACCAUGGGGCCUCCUCUUCUAAAGUUAACUUCCUUGUAUCAUCAUCAUUGUCAUUAUUACUAUUAUCAUAUAAAUGCUCUUACUAUGUGAGAGGCAGUUCAUCUUUAUUCUGUAUAUAUCAUGUAUAUAGCUAUUUAGUUACAAAUUCUUUCCCCUCUUACUAUAUAAGCUCUUUGAAAGCAUUAAAAAUUUCUUUGUAAAGUAAGGAAUUAGUUCAGUGCUUGACAUAUAGGAAGUGUAUUAUAAAUACUUGUUUCUUGUUGGAUUUAUUUAUUUUUUGGUCCUCAUAGGACUGCUUGUAGUUCUGACAUUCUCUUGUCAUCAUUAUAUAUAUACACCCUCCUUAAUGUCUUUAAUAUAACUCAAAAUCAGAUUAUAGCCUUAGUACUAGAAAAGAAUUCUGGGGUCAUCUAGUCUAACAAUUGUCAUAUUCCCUAUUAUGGAUAAGGAAACUAAGUCUCAGGGAUAUUGAUUAACUUGCUCGUGAUCAUAUAAUUACUAAAUAGCAGAGAUAAGAUUUGAAUCCAAGUCAUUUGACUGCAGAGCCAUUGCUCUUUUCACCAUAUUAUAGUAGGUCCUGCUUCAAGUAAUUUAUUAUUGAUGUUACCUCGUUAUUCAGGUAUGGGAUGAGAAUGAAGUGAAGUAUAUAUAGAACAUCUAACAGUUAACAAAAAUAAUUCCUUAGCCAUAACAUGGAAAGAAUACUCCAUACAUGUGCAUCACCAAUUCACGUGAAAAUGUGUUUUAUCGGUAAUCUUGGGCACAGACAUCCAUCUGACUGGAAAUAUAUUAACUCUUCAUGGCUUGCCUCUUUUAUUAUCUUCAUGAAAUAGAAUCCAUGUUAAUCUCUUAAGCCUUAGUCCAUCAGAAUAAUCAAGUUCCAAGGAAAGCUUUCCUGACUUUUAAGGGAAAACUAUUAAUGGCAGAAAAGCCAGUAAAUAUUACUCCCACCAUAAUUGGAAAGACAUUGUUGGGUACUUAUGUCAACCAUACCUUUCUCCAUUAUCCUUACGGUAAAUUGUAAUUAUAAUGUUUCUGAGGCGAGAAUGUUCCAUGAUCUUUAGCCAUGUACCAUUGGUGAAUGAUUGUCAGAAUGAUCAGUAGAAACAAUUAUUUUUCCAUCUCUGAAAGCACUCAUGCUAGUUAUAGUAUAAAUUUGAAAGGAAUAAGAUUGUAUCCCUUUAGUUCCUAUAAUUCAGAUUUUCCUUUAAUAACUGAAAUAAGCUUUUUCCAUGACAUUGGUCUGAAUUAAUGAGAUCUUGUUAUGCUAAUGAAGCAGUGACUGAAUUAAUUAUGUACUUAUGGCAUUAUGAGAGACUUGAAGCUUUUCAUUUAGGGGUAUCCCAGAUAGCAAAUUAGAAAAAAAAAUGAUCCCUAUGAUAAAAAAAUAAAAGAGGUUGACCUCCAGGCUAGUGUAUUCUCAGCUCAGAAGGAGAGAAAUAUAAUUGAUUCUUCAGGCAUCCUGGGUGAAUCCUCACUCUGCUACUCUUCCAAUAUGUGAUGUUGGGCAAGUCACUAUAACUUUGUGGACUUCUGUGUCCUUAUAUGUAAUGAGAAAAGAAUAUGUGAAUUUGGGUGAAGGUAAGGAAAAUUUCCUGGUAAUUAAAACUGUCAGAAAUUGAAUUGUCCACCUUACUAGGUAUUGAAGUCCUUGUCAAUGAUGGUUGUAUGAGAUAAGAUCACAGAUUUAGAGCUGGAAAGGAUUUUUGAGGUCAUACAAUUCAAUCCCUUUAUUUUAGAGAAGAGCAAACUGUGGUGCACAGAGGUGAAAUGAUUUCCCCAUAAUCCCAGAGGGAGCAAAUGGGAGAACUUGUAUUUGACCUCUAGUUGUUGAAAUCUUAAACCAGAGCCCUUUCCACUAGUAUAGGCUAAUUGACUAUUUAAGGAAUAAUUUGGAUGAGAUUUAUUGUGUAAUAUUCCUGCCCAGCCCCUAGAGAGAUCUCUGUCUGCAGCACCCGUGUAACAUGUAACCUACCAAUGGACUCAUGCAAUCAAUUACUCAUAUGACUGCAUUGCUUUUAGGAUGUGAAUUGUAGUUGGGUCUUGAAGUUCUGUUAGUCACUGCUAGGGAAUACUUACCUCCAUAUUUGAAUGUUGAGGACUUUCAUGGAAAAUGACAAGAUGGUGCUGUUCUUGAGUCUAGUCAUCUUAUUAUCAAAUUAGCUCAGAUAGUUUCAUCGAGACUAGCAUAUUAGAUGGUGUUGAAAUAUUCUGAAAUUAGAUGCAGUUAUUAGUAUCAAAUAGGAGUAUUUGGAUAACAUUCUUAGUAAGGGCUCUUACUUUUGAUUGAUAUUCACACAGUCAGUGCUUUUAGCCCCCUGAAAGGUAACCAAAGAAAUAUCAACGAUUCUUUCUAUAUUGUGGGUUAAAAUGGCAAAAGUAUUGAAUAGGGUCUACUUAAUUCCUUUAACAUUUCUGCCUCUGAGCAAUUUUAAGAAUUGUUUCCUGAGUACCAUUAAAACUGUGUGGCCUCCACACACAGAUUUCUUCUGUCCAUAUGUGUAUACUUUAAGCCCUCUUUCACAAUUCCAUCUAUUUAAAUGCCAUUACUUUCUCAAAUAGGACAUCAAAUACUGAGGUGCGAAAGUACAAAUGUGAUGGUUCCACUAUUAUUGCCAAUGAGAAUAGAUCAUUAUAAAAUGCCAGCAAAUCUGUUACAUUUUCAUGCUUAUUUUUCCUUCUACUUUCAUUUAUAAAUGCUCUUGGGAGUAAUCUGGCUAUGAUGACUUGAAUGCCAAGGUCUCUGCAGGCUUAUUUUUUUCAUAACUGCUUUUCCUUCUUUUGUGAAGUGAUAUUACUAACCUUUCUUUGCUUCUAUGUUUUACAAAUGAGUUGGUAUUAGAUGGCCAUGUAUCUACAUUUUACAAAGUAACCAGAAUUAAAUAGGGAACAUACUUAAUUAUGCCUAAGAAUUCACAGGAUCAUAAUAUUUAGAGAAGGAAGAGAAUUUAGAGAUUUCUUCUUGACAGACUUCCUAUAUUUAACUUUUAACCUAUUCAAUUCAUUCUCCACAUGACUUCCAAACUGACAACACUAAAGCACAGUUUUAACAAGAUCAUUUUGAUGAUCUCAAAGUUUCAGUGAUUCCCUAUUGCCUUUAGGAUAAAAUACAAAUUUAUAUGUUUACCAAUCAAACCUCCUUAGAAUUUGACAUAUUUCGCUCCCUCAGGUACUAUUACUGUCCAGAUAAACUCAUCCACUUGUCGCUCCCCAAACAUAACAUCCUAUCUCUUUUCUUUAUGAUUUUUCUUUCAAAAGCUGGAAU